GAUGAAGAACGCAGCGAAAUGCGAUACGUAGUGUGAAUUGCAGAAUUCAGUGAAUCAUCGAGUCUUUGAACGCACAUUGCGCCCCCUGGUAUUCCGGGGGGCAUGCCUGUCCGAGCGUCAUUGCUGCCCUCAAGCACGGCUUGUGUGUUGGGCCCCCGUCCCCGGUUCUCCCCGGGGACGGGCCCGAAAGGCAGCGGCGGCACCGCGUCCGAUCCUCGAGCGUAUGGGGCUUUGUCACCCGCUCUGUAGGCCCGGCCGGCGCCAGCCGACACCCCAACUUUAUUUUCUAAGGUUGACCUCGGAUCAGGUAGGGAUACCCGCUGAACUUAAGCAUAUCAAUAAGCGGAGGA
rnacentral:misc_RNA from 1 species